GACAGAGGGUGCAAACGUUGUUCGGAAUUACUGGGCGUAAAGCGUGUGUAGCUGCUCCAUAAGUCGGAUGUGAAAGCCCCGGGCUCAACCCGGGAAGUGCACUCGAUACUGUGGAGCUCGAGUAUCGGAGAGGUUGGUGGAAUUCUCGGUGUAGAGGUGAAAUUCGUAGAUAUCGAGAGGAACACCGGUGGCGAAGGCGGCCAACUGGACGAAUACUGACGCUGAGACACGAAAGCGUGGGGAGCAAACAGG
rnacentral:rRNA from 1 species